AUUGAACGCUGGCGGAAUGCUUUACACAUGCAAGUCGAACGGCAGCACGGACUUCGGUCUGGUGGCGAGUGGCGAACGGGUGAGUAACAUAUCGGAACGUAUCCAAUAAUGGGGGAUAACUAAUAGAAAGGUUGGCUAAUACCGCAUACGCCCUACGGGGGAAAGCAGGGGAUCUUCGGACCUUGCGUUAAUGGAGCGGCUGAUAUCUGAUUAGCUAGUUGGUGAGGUAAAGGCUGACCAAGGCGACGAUCAGUAGCUGGUCUGAGAGGACGACCAGCCACCAUGGAACUGAGACACGGUCCAGACUCCUACGGGAGGCAGCAGUGGGGAAUUUUGGACAAUGGGCGCAAGCCUGAUCCAGCCAUUCCGCGUGAGUGAAGAAGGCCUUCGGGUUGUAAAGCUCUUUCGCAAGGGAAGAAAACUUACUUUCUAAUAAAGAGUGAGGUUGACGGUACCUUGAUCAGAAGCACCGGCUAACUACGUGCCAGCAGCCGCAGUAA
rnacentral:rRNA from 1 species